UCCCUAGUGGUCCUGUGGUUAGGACUCAGCACUUCCAAUGCAGGCGUUGCAGGUUUGAUCCCUGGCUAGAGAA
rnacentral:tRNA from 1 species